rnacentral:rRNA from 1 species
AGGACGAACGCUGGCGGUGUGCUUCACACAUGCAAGUCGAACGAGGUAGCAAUACCUAGUGGCGGACGGGUGAGUAACGCGUGGGAAUCUGCCUUUAGAUGGGGGAUAACGGGCCGAAAGGUCCGCUAAUACCGCAUAGGCCGCAAGGUUAAAGGAGUAAUCCGUCUAAAGAUGAGCCCGCGUCCGAUUAGCUAGUUGGUAGGGUAAAAGCCUACCAAGGCGACGAUCGGUAGCUGGUCUGAGAGGAUGAUCAGCCACAAUGGGACUGAGACACGGCCCAUACUCCUACGGGAGGCAGCAGUGGGGAAUUUUGUGCAAUGGGCGAAAGCCUGACACAGCGACACCGCGUGAGCGAAGAAGCCCUUUGGUGUGUAAAGCUCUGUCAGCUGGAACGAAAAAUGACGGUACCAGCAGAGGAAGCAUCGGCUAACUACGUGCCAGCAGCCGC